AGUGAACGCUGGCGGUAGGCCUAACACAUGCAAGUCGAACGGCAGCACAGUAAGAGCUUGUUCUUACGGGUGGCGAGUGGCGGACGGGUGCGGAAUACAUCGGAAUCUACUUUUUCGUGGGGGAUAACGUAGGGAAACUUACGCUAAUACCGCAUACGACCUACGGGUGAAAGCAGGGGAUCUUCGGACCUUGCGCGAGUGAAUGAGCCGAUGUCGGAUUAGCUAGUUGGCGGGGUAAAGGCCCACCAAGGCGACGAUCCGUAGCUGGUCUGAGAGGAUGAUCAGCCACACUGGAACUGAGACACGGUCCAGACUCCUACGGGAGGCAGCAGUGGGGAAUAUUGGACAAUGGGCGCAAGCCUGAUCCAGCCAUACCGCGUGUGUGAAGAAGGCCUUCGGGUUGUAAAGCCCUUUUGUUGGGAAAGAAAAGCAGUAGGUUAAUACCCCGCUGUUCUGACGGUACCCAAAGAAUAAGCACCGGCUAACUUCGUG
rnacentral:rRNA from 1 species